UACGGAGGGUGCGAGCGUUGUCCGGAAUCAUUGGGCGUAAAGAGCUCGUAGGCGGUUUGUCGCGUCGGCUGUGAAAACUCGGGGCUCAACCCCGAGCCUGCAGUCGAUACGGGCAGACUAGAGUGCUGUAGGGGAGACUGGAAUUCCUGGUGUAGCGGUGAAAUGCGCAGAUAUCAGGAGGAACACCGGUGGCGAAGGCGGGUCUCUAGGCAGUAACUGACGUGAGGAGCGAAAGCGUGGGGAGCGAA
rnacentral:rRNA from 1 species